rnacentral:tRNA from 1 species
AUGUAACUAGUAUAAAUAUUAUACUACUUUUCCAAAGUAGUGAUCUACUUACGGUAGGUUACAUA